AUGAAAUUCUUACUGAGUUUUUGCGGUUGCCACUGCACUAUCAUGAUGUACAAGUACAGACACUUAUUUUGGGACGGAGGGAGAAUAUAUGCACAACAGGCUAACGAGAGGCAGUUGAUAGAUCACUAUGGAUCAAAGCAUCCCAGGGAGAAACCUCCAGGUCCAUCAAAUGCAGACUGA
rnacentral:rRNA from 1 species